GAUGAACGCUGGCGGCGUGCCUAAUACAUGCAAGUCGAGCGAACGGACGAGAAGCUUGCUUCUCUGAUGUUAGCGGCGGACGGGUGAGUAACACGUGGAUAACCUACCUAUAAGACUGGGAUAACUUCGGGAAACCGGAGCUAAUACCGGAUAAUAUUUUGAACCGCAUGGUUCAAAAGUGAAAGACGGUCUUGCUGUCACUUAUAGAUGGAUCCGCGCUGCAUUAGCUAGUUGGUAAGGUAACGGCUUACCAAGGCAACGAUGCAUAGCCGACCUGAGAGGGUGAUCGGCCACACUGGAACUGAGACACGGUCCAGACUCCUACGGGAGGCAGCAGUGGGGAAUCUUCCGCAAUGGGCGAAAGCCUGACGGAGCAACGCCGCGUGAGUGAUGAAGGUCUUCGGAUCGUAAAACUCUGUUAUUAGGGAAUAACAUAUGUGUAAGUAACUGUGCACAUCUUGACGGUACCUAAUCAGAAAGCCACGGCUAACUACGUG
rnacentral:rRNA from 1 species